GAGGGGGAUGAAGAUAAUGGCUGGGAGAGAGAGAACUUGUAUGGGGAGAGGGAGGAGAGGAUUGUAUCUCCCUGCCCUUGAAAAGAGAAAGGCUCCCCUGCUUUCAAUCGUUCACUUGAGUAGGGAGCGUGAUGUGGUGGGGGAAAGAGGAAUGAUGGGUAUCCCUUGGCACUUAUAAGACUAAGCACCUUAAACUGAACUAAUGCACUUUAUUAUUAAGAGGGGAUUUGAAUAGGGUUUUUGUUGUCAGUGUACGUACGGUGUGUGUGUGUUGAAUCUACACAAGAUGCUGUACGUAUACAUGUGAACAUCUGAACUGGAAGGGUAAGGUUGGUGGGAUAGAUUCACUGGGAGGGGGAACUCAAAGAUAGAGGGGACCUUUUUAUUUUGAAACCUUAUCAGAAAAACAAAUCCUUUCUUGAAAGACAAACACUGUUGUUUUUUUUACAAUACAUUUAUAUGAAAAGUAAAGCUAUUACAAAAAAAUACAUAAAAAAACUUGAAGAUUUGCACUUGUGUUAAAAAAAACUAAGAUAAAAAAAUAGAAAAACAAAUGGGGUUAGAGAUGAAUAUUUCUGUGUGUGUGCGCAUUGUGCAGACUAGUAUGUUUCUAAUGUCUGUUAUGUUUUCUCCAUUGCUUACCAAGAUGUUUGAACACAUACCAGGCCAUUAUGUCAUUUUGUUCAAAUAAGAAUUGAUGUUUUUUCCAUGAGUAGACGUGUCCUCUUGUACAGAGGGACUUUCUUUGUAUCUACGUGUGUAUGAUUGUGUGUGUGACAGAGGGGGCAAUGGCACAACACAUCCUUUCUCUCACCAGCUCUUCAUCCCCAGAGAAACGUAAUAGAAAUACAGACAUUUGUAGGGGAGGAUUAUGGCUUUGCGCUCCUUCAUAUGUUGUUAAAGCACCACUUGUUUCUGGGGUGUUUUGGGGUACGGGCUGAUGGAGCAGUGCCCCUCCCCGCUGUCUUCUCUCAGCCACUGUGUGUGCGUGUGCGCAUGCAUGCAUGCACAUUUGUGCCUAAGAACUCUGAAAGGGUGAAUGGGAUGGAAGGAAUGUUCAAUGGCCAUUGAGACAUUUACUUUUUGAGUGUGUUAUGGUUAUGUUAAGCGCUCUGUAUAGCCCGUGUAUGUCAAUCAUAUAUCCUAAUAUUUCAGGUUUAGUCUGGGGAUGAUGAUUGAUUGGAAGGUUAGUCCAGUUUAGUUUUCCUGGGAUGUGAUCACGUUGCCUUGUCAGUUCUCUUUAACUUGCGUGUGAAAGGUGUGCGGUUUCAGAUUCUGCUCAAAACAAUUAGCAUCACACUGUCCAUGUACAGGAUGGUGCACAAAAUGUUAGCAUAUUCUUGUGUUACUUAUUCAUUGCUAUUGUUGAUGAUGACGUUUCUUUUUUAGGAAUAUAAAUGAAAAUACAUACAUGAAUAAUCAGUUUUUUUAAAAAAAGAAAAAGUAUUUGGACUGCGAUUAUGAUGAGCACUGCUAUUUUUUUUUUUAUCCCUUAAUUUAGUUUUUGUUGCAUUACCGCCAUGUGAAGUGCGUUUGUUAUUUCUUUCUUAAGAAAACAUUGAAUGUAUUCCCAAAAAAGUCAAAAAAAAAUGUGAUACGGGAUUUUUUUCCUCCACAAAAUGUCUAAAAAUGGAAUCUAAAAAAAAAACUAAAAAUCUAAGAUUGAAGAGGUCGGCGAGUUCUUUACUCUUUUCUUUUUUUACACAAAAGAGGAAGAACUCGGGAAGGCUACAGUUGAACACACUGCCUCUGCAAUCCUGUUCGUACAAAAACAAUAUUACUAUGAAAAAAUAAAGAACAGACUCUUUACUAUUCCUUACUGGAGUUUUGGUUGUUUACAAAACACACAGAUUUCUGUGGGUGCAGUUUUUUGGGGGUUAGGGUGGAUAGUGGGUAAGGGCAGGGUUUUGCAAGUGCGCUUCUGCAAAAUGGACAUUCAGUGGCUUAUGUUGUUUUGGCGGGAAGGAAGAAGGACAUCACAAUGUGACCCUUUAGUGGAUGUGGCUCUUUUGUAACUGACUGAUCAUCAAGGAGUGCAGGCGAAAAAUCAAAGAUUGUCUUUUUUUUUUUUUUACUGCCUGUAUUGUAACUCAAGGACUAAGUGUUUCUGUUCGUGGAGUAGAAAACUUAAUCAAAAAGCAGAAACUGCAGAGGAGUUUUUGGUACUUAGAACAUGCAUAAAGGAAACAACAAUAUCAUCGCUUUAAUAGAGAAGUCUCCUGGAGGAAAAAUAUGGAGUACCUUUUUUUUUGCUCCUUGAACAUGUAAACGAAACAAAGAUGGACAAACCCGUGAGGAGUGGUUGAGAAUAAAGGAAAUGUAAGAUUUUGUAAAACCUUACAUACAAAUGACAUUGACCUCAAAUCUACCAUUGCAUUCAAUUGGACCGUGUGCAGGCAGAAUUAUUUUUCCUUUUUUGUUUAAAAGGGGUCUCAGGGUGUGUAGUGGGGGUAUUUUAACCCUGCGAUGAGGGGAAAUGAAAGGAUACUACUAGUAUGAUCUCUGGGGGACACCCAUCAUCCCUCGUCAACACUCACUGUUGACGAGGGCUGCCCCGACCACUCUCACUAUGCACUUUGGUUCAUUCAAACUGUGAGAUGCCAUCACAUUUGGGAUAGGAGCACAGAAAUAUUGUAGUACAAAGGGAGGGUUUAACAAGAAAUGUAACUUUGACUGAGUUAAUACCGUCUCACUGAAAACAAAAUUUUCAAAACAAAAGACAGGAACACGCCUUCUUCCUCCUGUACAUAACCAUAUUUUUGUAUUAGGCCUAACUUUAAACAAGAUCACUUGGACAAAACUGCAAGGCUUGAUAUACAAACUAGCAGAAUAAGGAAAUUCACGAGACAUUGAUUUACAGAGUGAAUAACCCUGUGGUAAAUGAAUUACCUGGAAAUUCCCCAAACUUUGCCAGUAGCCCUGUAUGUCUUCGGGGAUAGGGAAAGAAAAGACUUAACAUGGAUGGAGCUGGGGACUGCAGGGACUCCCAAGACUGAAUGAUGAUCACUGCUGCAGAGCCCCGCCCAAAGUGUUUGACCAACUGGCACCAGCCAAUGGAGAAGGCAGGGGAGAGACAGUCAGGCGGAUGUAUCAGGGGACCUGCUGCCCAGAUGCCCCCUCCCCAACCUGUCACCUAGCCACUGCCUGGAGAUUGAUCACGGGCUGACAGCAAGAAGACAACCAUCAUAUGGGGUCCUCACUGUUCCUAGCUGCCCUCUGCUGGAGAGGAGAUGGAGAAGCUCCUCAGCCCUUUCUUCUUCCGCUCCUCCUCUGCACCCCUGGUGGUGAAAGAGCAGGAACCACAUCAGCUGCAGUAGCAGAGGACCUGGAACAGUGGAGAAACUGACCACACACACACACAGAGCUUUACACGCAUGUCCAUGCAGCAUUCUCAAAUACUCUCUUUUCAAGAACCACAUUCUUGAAAACCACAUUGAAACACACACAAAAGCAGAAAGGCUCAAUACCAUACACUUGAGUUUUGACUGCUAUGUAAAUAAUAUUACAAGUGUUUUCUUUUUUCUGUUCAACAUGCCUUAACUGUGGCGAUCCGCCUUUGUGUGGCAAACUCGAAAACAUAUAUUAACAAUAAGAGUGAAAGCCAGUUGGAGAACCUGAUAAGGACUAUAGCAUUUGAAUAAGGGGGGUGGUGUCAAUGUUCUACUUACCGGGACAGUGUUUUAUUGGCCAACAAUACUGCUGUAUGUUACUUUAUUUCUGUCCAGCAUCUAUGGCAACAAAGUAGAACUGAAGGCAAUCCCUGAGGACAAUGCUUAAGACUGAUGGUUUUUCAAAGCAAGAUUAACUGUUCUGUUAUCCAGUUUUAAAUGCCCAGACAUGUAGCUGAAGAUGCAGGCUGAGGAAUCUGAAGUCUGUGUAUUAUGGAGCUGAGCUGACCAGGAAGGGUGUGUUAAAUAGAUCCAUAUGUUCCUUUACAGUUCUACACAGUGCCCCACUACAUAUUACUUUUUUAUUUUUUGACCCAAUGAUUUUUGACAGUUUGAGACUUGAUUUGAAAUAAGUGUUUUUAUCCUAUUGAGGACCACCCAUUUAAAAUGAAGGAUAUACAGUGCCCUCUGUAGUUAUUGGGAUGUUGAAGCAUUUCUUAUUUUGGCUCUGCACUCCACAAGUUUUGAUUUUAAAUCAAACAAUUAUGAGGUUAAAGCAUAGGUUCUCUGCUUUUAUUUGAGGGUAUUUGUGUACAUAUUGGUUCCACCAUUUAGAAACGACAACACUCUUUAUGCAUAGUCACCCCUAUUUCAAGGGACCAAAUGUAUUGGGACAAAUUCACCUAUGUGUAUUAAUGUAGUGAAAAGUGAAACAUUUGGACCCAUAUUCAUAGCACGCGAUGGUUACAUCAGCAAUGUGACUACAAACUUGUUGGAUGCAUUUGCUGUUUGUUUUGGUUGUUUCAGAUUAAUUUGUGCCCAAUAGAAAUGAAUGGUAAAUGUGUUGUCAUUUGGAAUCACUUUUAUUGUAAAUAGGAAUAUAAGAAUUAUGUUUCUAAACACUUCUACAUUAAUGUGAAUGCUACCAUUAUUACAGAUAAUCCUGAAUGAGUCAUGAAUAAUGAUGAGUGAGAUCAUACCCCCAAGACAUGCUCACCAAUACAAUAACAGGAGGUUAGCGUUUUUGGGGGGUAUGAUAUUUGUGCGUUUUUAACUUUCUCACUCAUUAUUCACAAUUCAUUCAGAAUUAUCAGUAUUCAUGGUAGCAUCCACAUUCAUGAAGUGUUUGUAAACAUUCUUAUUAACAAUAAAAAGUGAUUACCCAACACAUUUACCAUGAAUUUCUUUUGGGCACAAAGUAAUUUGAAACACAACCAAAACAAACAGCAAAUGCAUCCAACUAAUUUGUUUAGUCACAAGCUUGAUGUAGCCAUUGUGUGUGUGCUAUGAAUAUGGGACCAAAUAUUUCACUUUUUACUACUUUAAUACACACAAGUGAAUUUGUCCCAAUACUUUUGGGACGAUGUAUAAAAAGUGUUGUCAUUUGUAAAUGGUGAAACCAAUAUGUACACAAAUGCCCUCAAAUAAAAUCGGAGAAUGUAUAGUUUAACCUCGUAGUAAUUGUUCGAUUUCAAAUCCAAACCUUUGGAGUCUAUACCAUAAGAACAAAAAAUGCUUCACUGUUCCAAUAAUGAGAGGGCACUAUCUCUUCUUGGUGGUCCUCUGAGUAGAUUAUCUUUGUGGAUUGUCUAUUUGACACUUUGAUUACUGACCAUUGUGCAGAUUAUGUCCUCGUAUAUUAGAAGCAUCUUACUAACGUUAUUGAAUGGCUGUGUAUGUUACUUGUAUGUAUGCCAUCUAUGCAGUUGAUCAUGGGUUUGUCUGUCUCUUUAAUAGAAACCAGGUUUUCAAUGGAGAAGCUCAAUUCUUCCCCUGUCAGUCAGGUUGAAUGGAUGAAUUGUUUUGUAAGUGUUUUCCAACUGCUUCGGUUGGUCAAACAAAUGAAUAUUAACUUUGGGAGAUGAGACCCUCUACUUUGAGUGGAACAUGUUUGUUAUAUAUAUGAAUAAGGGGGGGGUGCCAUAUAUAUAUGAUAGUUUUGAUCAGUUGAUAUAUUAGUUAAUGCAACUGGAGGAAUAUCUAAAAUGUCACUGAAGUAUUUUAUGAAUACUGUGGAUUUUGACUUCAAUCUUCCAACUCCAUCCGUGCGGGAUAAGAAUGCCCUCCAUAAACUGGUUUGCAGUGAACUGUUAAUAUGUAGCUGUCUCUAAAUUAUUAUUCUCUUGAGUUAUAUUUGGGUGUUUCAUUUUUUAAAAGUUGGCAUUGUCUUUGUUGGAGUAAUUGUUGGUCACCUGUAGGUGAACAGUUCGGUCUGUUCUGUCUUUCUGUUAAUCAUUGAAGUUCAAAGUGAUUAUUGUUUUGGCACUGUGAUGCCCCUGGGUGAGAUUGUUAUGCCUUUGAUGUAUGAAUUCCAUAAAAAUGUAUGAUUCAUUAACAAACCGAUUUUGAUCAAAUUAUAUCCAUUUUCUUUUUCACCCAAAUGGUCGGCUCAGUUCCAUCGCUUAAACGUUUUGAAUAUUUUAGAGAUAAGUAACAUAAAAACAAAUGCAUUCAGAAAAAUAACCUAAAAAGUGUAAAUAGUUUGGGUUUUGUUGGUUUGACGAGAACAAAAAAUUAUUAAAUAAAAUGCAUUUAACAAUG